rnacentral:rRNA from 1 species
UACGAAGGGUGCAAGCGUUAAUCGGAAUUACUGGGCGUAAAGCGUGCGUAGGCGGUUUCUUAAGUCUGCUGUGAAAUCCCCGGGCUCAACCUGGGAAUGGCAGUGGAUACUGGGAGGCUAGAGUGUGUCAGAGGAUGGUGGAAUUCCCGGUGUAGCGGUGAAAUGCGUAGAGAUGUGGAGGAACACCGAUGGCGAAGGCAGCCCCCUGGGUUAACACUGACGCUCAGGCACGAAAGCGUGGGGAGCAAACAGG